UUUUGAUAAAGGCAAACUAUUUGAAAGAGUAGGACGCAAAGCCUAGGGUCUAAGGUAGCAAUGCUAUGAUCGCCUGGUUACCAAA
rnacentral:ncRNA from 1 species